UACGGAGGAUGCAAGCGUUAUCCGGAAUGAUUGGGCGUAAAGGGUCCGCAAGUGGCAAUGUAAGUCUGCUGUCAAAGAAUGAGGCUUAACCUCAUCAAGGCAGUGGAAACUACAUAGCUAGAGUACGGUCGGGGUAGAAGGAAUUCCUGGUGUAGCGGUGAAAUGCGUAGAGAUCAGGAAGAACACCGGUGGCGAAAGCGUUCUGCUAGACCUGUACUGACACUGAGGGACGAAAGCUAGGGGAGCGAAUGGG
rnacentral:rRNA from 1 species